GUUGAUCCUGCCAGACCGGAUUGCUAUCGGGGAUGGGACUAAGCCAUGCAAGUCUAAAUGGUACAACAUGCCUGUAUCAUUGGCGAAUCGCUCAGUAACACGUAGUUAAUCUACCCUAUGGUGGGGCAUAUCCACGGGAAAGUAUCAUAGUAAAUCAUAUCAAAAAAUUAUGGUACCCCGAAACCGUGGUUAAUUCCCCGUAGGCCACGCGGACUGGAAUGUUGCGUGACCCAAAGACGUGUGAGGCUAUGAAAGCAUGAUCGCCAUAGGAUGAGACUGCGGAGGAUUAUGGUCGUUGGHGGGGUAACGGCCCACCAAGCCUUUGAUCCGUACGCGCCGUGAGAGCGGGAGCCCGGAGAUGGGAACUGAGACACUGUCCCAAGCUACGGGGUGCAGCAGGCGCGAAACCUCCGCAAUGCACGCAAGUGUGACGGGCCAUCCCGAGUGCUUC
rnacentral:rRNA from 1 species